rnacentral:lncRNA from 1 species
UGUCGGGCGCCUGUAAUCCCAGCUACAUGGCGAAACUUCGUCUCUACUAAAAAUACAAAAAUUAGCUGGGCGGGUGGCAGGCACCUGUAGUCCCAGCUACUCGGGAGGCUGAGGCAGAAGAAUCGCUUGAACCUGGGAGGCGGAGGUUGUAGACAGAGCGAGACUCUACCUCAAAAAAAAAAAAAAAAAAAAAAAAAUGUCCUCAAAAGAGCAGUAGACAGGCUGAACAUGAGAACCUCUGCUUUGCUCCCAGCCGGUUGUGAACUUGGACAAGGCCAUUUACUCUAGACCUGUUUCUCUACAGGCAAACAACAGGAGGCAGUUAGCUAGCUCUGAAGUUUCUUCCCAUUCUAAAAUCUAAGACAGUAUGCUAAACAUGGGCAAAUAACUUAAAAUUGCAUAGGAAUAUGUGAUACAAGUAACGUUUAAAGACUCAUACAUUCAUCCUAAUUUACUGUGGGAAAUAAUAUAACCAUCUUACAUUCUGGAAUAUAUGACACUUAAAGGUUUUGGGAAUUAACCCAUCAAAACCUGGAGCAGCAGCAUCCAUCUUAAAAUCUCCAAACUCCAUCGCUACCUGGUGAGGGCUGAAACUCUCUUCCCUAAAAUAAUCUUCAGGCCACACUGGAAGCACCUCCCUCUUACGAAAGAUACUGCAUGACCUUUAAGCAUCCAAGUGGUUUUGAAAAGACUUCAUCUGGCCAUAUGCUCACUGCUCCCAUUACCUCUUUCCCAAGAGUUGAAUUAAAGAAAGGUUAGGCAAGAACCCUUCCAAGAAGGCUCCCGGUUCUCACGACUAGGAACAAUCUGAGGACAAGAUGUCUGGGCAGCGGAAUGUUAUGAAAAGACCCUGGCCUGGGUUGUCUAUCAGCCUCGUCCGUUAACUUUCAACUGCCCGAGUGCGUUUUUAAUUCCGUUUCUUUAAAUGCAUGGCCCCAGACUCCCUGACGUGUGCAAUCUUGGGUGGUUCAGGAGGCUGCUCUCAGCUUUACUGGGCGCACAACCCAUCGCUUUAAAAAAAAAAAAAUCACUUGGGCAACUUCGAGAAAUCUAAUAAAAAAAUAAAAAAGGAAAAAGGAGAAGCAAGGCACAGCCUCUCACCCCACACGUGACUGAAGCCAACCCUAGACGAGCAAAUGAAUUUUCCUGACAAACGUGUGGCAACAAAGGAAUGCUCGCUGGGGGGCUCCCGCGCCCGCCAGACGCUGCCCGCCC